AUUGAACGCUGGCGGCAGGCCUAACACAUGCAAGUCGAACGAGUGGCGGACGGGUGAGUAAUGUCUGGGAAACUGCCCGAUGGAGGGGGAUAACUACUGGAAACGGUAGCUAAUACCGCAUACCAUCGGAUGUGCCCAGAUGGGAUUAGCUUGUAGGUGAGGUAACGGCUCACCGAGGCGACGAUCCCUAGCUGGUCUGAGAGGAUGACCAGCCACACUGGAACUGAGACACGGUCCAGACGCCAACGGGAGGCAGUAGUGGGGAAUAUUGCACACUGGGCGAAAGCCGGAGGCAGCCAUGCCGGGGGUAUGAAGAAGGCCGUCGGGUUGUAAAGUACUUUCAGCGGUGAGGCGUUACCCGCAGAAGAAGCACCGGCUAACUCCGUGCCAGCAGCCGCGGUAAUAC
rnacentral:rRNA from 1 species